CAAUAGCGUAUAUUAAAGUUGUUGCAGUUAAAAAGCUCGUAGUUGGACCUUGGACCUGGACAGGCGGUCCGCCUCACGGCGUGUACUGUCUUGCUGGGUCUUUCCUCUUGGUGAUCCGUUGUUUCGGCAGCAGGGAACCAGGACUUUUACUUUGAAAAAAUUAGAGUGUUCAAAGCAGGCUCGACGCCGGAAUAUAUUAGCAUGGAAUAAUAAAAUAGGACGUGCGGUUCUAUUUUGUUGGUUUUUGGAAUCGCCGUAAUGAUUAAUAGGGACAGUCGGGGGCAUUAGUACUCACAUGCUAGAGGUGAAAUUCUUGGAUUUUGUGAAGACUAACUUCUGCGAAAGCAUUUGCCAAGGAUGUUUUCAUUAA
rnacentral:rRNA from 1 species